rnacentral:rRNA from 1 species
AUUGAACGCUGGCGGCAUGCCUUACACAUGCAAGUCGAACGGCAGCGGACCUUCGGGUGCCGGCGAGUGGCGAACGGGUGAGUAAUAUAUCGGAACGUACCUUUCAGUGGGGGAUAACGUAGCGAAAGUUACGCUAAUACCGCAUAUUCUGUGAGCAGGAAAGCAGGGGAUCGCAAGACCUUGCGCUGAUUGAGCGGCCGAUAUCAAAUUAGCUAGUUGGUGAGGUAAAGGCUCACCAAGGCGACGAUCUGUAGCGGGUCUGAGAGGAUGAUCCGCCACACUGGAACUGAGACACGGUCCAGACUCCUACGGGAGGCAGCAGUGGGGAAUUUUGGACAAUGGGCGCAAGCCUGAUCCAGCCAUGCCGCGUGAGUGAAGAAGGCC